UCUGGUUGAUCCUGGCGGAGGUUACUGCUAUCGAGGUUCGACUAAGCCAUGCGAGUCGAAUGUAGCAAUACAUGGCGUACUGCUCAGUAACACGUGGACAACCUACCCUCCGGACGGGUAUAAACCCGGGAAACUGGGUAUAAUCCCCGAUAGAUCUCGGUCGCUGGAAAGCCCCGAGAUCGAAAGCUCCGGCGCCAGAGGAUGGGUCUGCGGCCUAUCAGGUAGUAGUGGGUGUAGCGUACCUACUAGCCUACGACGGGUACGGGUUGUGAGAGCAAGAGCCCGGAGAUGGAUUCUGAGACACGAAUCCAGGCCCUACGGGGUGCAGCAGGCGCGAAAACUUUACAAUGCCGGCAACGGCGAUAAGGGGACCUCGAGUGCCAGGUUACAAAUCUGGCUGUCGUGAUGCCUAAAAAGCAUUGCAUAGCAAGGGCCGGGCAAGACCGGUGCCAGCCGCCGCGGUAACACCGGCGGCUCGAGUGGUAACCGUUAUUAUUGGGUCUAAAGGGUCUGUAGCCGGCCGGAUAAGUCUCUUGAGAAAUCCAGCAGCUCAACUGUUGGGCUUUCAGGAGAUACUGUCUGGCUCGAGGCCGGGAGAGGUGAGAGGUACUUCAGGGGUAGGGGUGAAAUCUUGUAAUCCUUGAAGGACCACCAGUGGCGAAGGCGUCUCACCAGAACGGACCUGACGGCAAGGGACGAAAGCUAGGGGCACGAACCGGAUUAGAUACCCGGGUAGUCCUAGCCGUAAACGAUACUCGCUAGGUGUCGGCCACGGUGCGACCGUUGUCGGUGCCGUAGGGAAGCCGUGAAGCGAGCCACCUGGGAAGUACGGCCGCAAGGCUGAAACUUAAAGGAAUUGGCGGGGGAGCACCACAACGGGUGGAGCUUGCGGUUUAAUUGGAUUCAACGCCGGAAAUCUUACCGGGACCGACAGCAACAUGAAGGCCAGGCUGAAGACUUUGCCGGAUUAGCUGAAAGGUGGUGCAUGGCCGUCGUCAGUUCGUACUG
rnacentral:rRNA from 1 species